rnacentral:rRNA from 1 species
CUGGCUCAGGAUGAACGCUAGCGGCAGGCUUAACACAUGCAAGUCGAGGGGCAGCGCGGGGUAGCAAUACUCUGGCGGCGACCGGCGGAAGGGUGCGUAACGCGUGAGCAACAUGCCCGUGGCAGGGGGAUAAGCGAUGGAAACGUCGUCUAAGACCCCGUAACAACAGAGUUCGCAUGGACUUUGUUUGAAAGCUUCGGCGGCCACGGAUUGGCUCGCGUCCCAUUAGGCAGUUGGCGGGGUAACGGCCCACCAAACCGACGAUGGGUAGGGGUUCUGAGAGGAAGGUCCCCCACAAUGGAACUGAGACACGGUCCAUACUCCUACGGGAGGCAGCAGUGAGGAAUAUUGGUCAAUGGGCGGAAGCCUGAACCAGCCAUGCCGCGUGCCAGGAAUAAGGCCCUACGGGUCGUAAACUGCUUUUGUACGGGAGCAAUAAGGGCCACGUGUGACCUGAUGAGAGUACCGUACGAAUAAGCAUCGGCUAACUCCGUGCCAGCCGCGGC